GUCGUCGGGGUCUGAAAAUCCCAAUGCUAUUGAACCCUCUGUGAGCAACCUUCCAGAGCAGCAGGGCCAGCAGCCCCCCCAGGAAGACAGACAGGGAGGAGAGGAGGAAGGCCCACCACAGCCUGUGCCCCCGGUAGAGGCAGUGGGUGUGGGAAAUGGGAGGUUUCAGAAGCCACACACAGUAUUGAACAUAAAUUGCCAACAUCAUAACUGGACAUCUGUCUUGCCUGAAGAAUGAGGACAUCUUUUGUAUUCUAGCAACAUAUUGUUUGGAGAGGGAGUAAAGAGGAUGAGGAGUGGAGAGGUGGUCCACCUUCCCUGUGGCUCCCUCUUCCCCUGUAGCGCCAAGGCCUAGCGAUUGGUGUCCUCCACUAUGUCCCUGUCAGAAACAGCUUGAAGCACUCUGCCUCAGAGGGAGAUGGCAAGGGGCUUUUCACUCCAGACUGGGACUCAACGCCAACAGCAGGGCCAGGAGGGGUGAAAUGGCUUCACUACCAGCAUCUUAAGAGGGACCUGGGACUUUGUCAGUGCACUGGGUUCUCAGUGGCCACAAGGUUGGGGGCAGCUCCUCACUGUCAGGAUCUGAUACCUCAGAAUAACUGUCAGAAUUUACAAAAAUCUCCUGAAUUUCCACAUUUGUGAGUUGUCUCCAUUUGAAAGGCAUUGCUAAUGCUACAGCUUAGCUCACUAGGUACUUACAUAACACUGAAUGGUGCCACGUUGAGUGUCGGGGGUGAAGUGAUUGGUUGCCAGUGUGGUGAAACUGAUUACUUAUUUCCACAGAUUGUUUACAUUAUAUGGUUAGAAUUAUUAAUAUGGCAAGUUAGAACUAACGCAGCAGGUUAGGAGAAUUAAUGUAGGAAGUUAAGAGAACAAGGUUAAGGAAAGAGUUAGGCUUAGUUACAGUCAUCAACAACUGUUGCCCCCGACGCGACCACUUGUAGUUAGGGGGACAAACUUCUAUCUAGCCACAGAGGUAGAAACGUAAACAAACCAUCUGUGGCAACAAGUCACCACUAUCAUAAUACAGGCACAGACCAUUUGAAUCAA